GCAAUGGUAGCCCAGUGGUUAAGGCAUUGGGUUAUAGAUCAGAUGGUCAUGAGUUUAAAUCCCACCAAUCUACA